rnacentral:rRNA from 1 species
CGCGAAACCUUUACACUGCACGACAGUGCGAUAGGGGAACUCCGAGUGCGAGGGCAUAGAGCCCUCGCUUUUCUGCACCGUAAGGUGGUGCGGGAACAAGUGCUGGGCAAGACCGGUGCCAGCCGCCGCGGUAAUACCGGCAGCACGAGUGAUGGCCGAUCUUAUUGGGUCUAAAGCGUCCGUAGCUGGCCGUGCAAGUCCGUCGGGAAAUCCAGUGGCUCAACCUCUGGGCUUCCGGCGGAAACUGCUCGGCUUGGGACCGGAAGACUCGAGGGGUACGUUCGGGGUAGGAGUGAAAUCCCGUAAUCCUGAACGGACCACCGAUGGCGAAAGCACCUCGAGAGCACGGAUCCGACAGUGAGGGACGAAAGCUAGGGUCUCGAACCGGAUUAGAUACCCGGGUAGUCCUAGCUGUUAACGAUGCCCGCUCGGUUCGGCGCAGGCUACGAGCCUGUGCCGCGCCUCAGUGAAGACGUAAGCGGGCCGCCUGGGAAGUACGUCCGCAAGGAUGAAACUUAAAGGAAUUGGCGGGGGAGCACUACAACCGGAGGAGCCUGCGGUUUAAUUG